AGAGCAGCAGCAGUAUAAGCGGACGGGAGCCAGUCAGGCAGCCAGCGCUUCCCAACCCAACGGGGGGUUUAAAACAGAAACUACUAGCCCAACUGUUUGUUCUGUACCGCGAAACACACCCCCUUACCUUAAUACAGUUGUAAACAAUUAGCAUUAUUAACUAGUCUUGGCCUCUGUCGUCAGUAUUAGAGGUGAAUAGAUAAAAAAGCGAGGAUGUUGGUCCCCGCGGGAAGAUAAUGAAGAAGCUGCGCGUGUUGUUGCUGUGCGCCGUUUUAGUUCUCCUGUGCUGGCACUCUUGUCAUCAUGUUUAUUGUUCAGAAGAGAUCUCCUCUGGCCCAGGGCUCCCUGCACAGGAUGCCAGCCGUUACACAACGCAGGAACCAGGGGCCGACGAAAAGGUUGAAGAGGAAAGGGCAACACACACUCGGUUAUCGUAUGACAUGGGCCUGGAAAAAGAGAGAGCUGCCCUAAAGGAAACAUCAUUGCACUCCCAAGACGCCCCGCUCGAAGAGAAACACAAACAGACUGUGAAUUUGGAAGAAGUGUUGGAGGAGCCGCAGAUUCUGCUUGAGUCUGCUCUCCCUGUGCUAGAACAACAACAACAACAGCAGCAGGAGCAGCAACCGGAACCUCAGAGCACUCAACAAUCAGACCAACAGCAAUCAGCUCAACCACCAACACUUGCGCAGCCCCAAACAGCACCGCCACUCUCCCAGCCCCAGCCAGACCCUGAAACUCUACAGCCCACUGCCACAGAGGACCAGGCUGCCCACACCUCCGCUGCUUUAACCCCUCCACAGACUGACCCGCACAGAGAAGACCCCUCUGCACCUCCUGCUGAACUCCAGAAGAGCCCAGAGUCAGCCUCACCUACCUCAGUCACCUCCUCCGAGAGCUCCUCCAGUGUUGUGGAGGAAAAUGCAGAAAAGCAAGCAGAGAACCAGUCUGCCACAUUGGGAGUACAGAGUACAGAGACCAGUGUUGACCUGACUGCCACUCUGCUCCCGAGUGAGCUGGACCUCACAGAGCUGGGGCGGACAGCCAGUAUCCCUCCACCUACAAAAAGCCAGCAGGUACACACACACUAUUUAUCAGACUAAUCUAACAUGGCUAAUUAAUUCUAACAGUGAGA
rnacentral:lncRNA from 1 species